CGCAGUUCGAUCAGCCAGCGCGCGCUCUUUGGCGCCGUUUUCCGGCUAUUUUGUCGUGAUUCGUUACGGAUGAUCACGUGGUCAAGGGGGGCGGUGGUUUUCGUGGCGAAACUGUGGAAGCUACAGCUGCACUCCACUGGCGACGCCCUUGUCACUUGCGCGCUGGCUCUCGUGCAGUGAGGACGCGCGGUCGCUCGCUGCGCCGUCCCAGCGCCGCGUCAGUUGGGACUUGACUGUCAUCGGGAUCGAACGCUCCGUCGCCGCUGGGGAAAAGAGCCGUGAUGGUGGCACCAUCUGGUGUGAUGCCUUGCAACUAGUUGGCCGCCGUCGUCGAGCUCUGCAACUACAGGCCAUCAACAAGCAACAUGGUGGUCGCUGGUCAUUCGGUCGUUCCGGAGCAGUUUCUUCGCCACGGCACCGUUCAUUUUCCGAAUAAAUUGUUUCUUUCCACUCUA